UACGAAGGGUGCAAGCGUUACUCGGAAUUACUGGGCGUAAAGGGUGCGUAGGUGGUUUGUUAAGUCUGCGGUGAAAUCCCCGGGCUCAACCUGGGAAUGGCAGUGGAUACUGGCAAGCUAGAGUGCGGUAGAGGGUAGUGGAAUUCCCGGUGUAGCAGUGAAAUGCGUAGAGAUCGGGAGGAACACCAGUGGCGAAGGCGGCUACCUGGACCAGCACUGACACUGAAGCACGAAAGCGUGGGGAGCAAACAGG
rnacentral:rRNA from 1 species